rnacentral:rRNA from 1 species
UCCUACGGGGGGCAGCAGUGGGGGAUAUUGCACAAUGGGGGGAACCCUGAUGCAGCGACGCCGCGUGGGUGAAGAAGCGCCUCGGCGCGUAAAGCCCUGUCAGCAGGGAAGAAAAUGACGGUACCUGAAGAAGAAGCCCCGGCUAACUACGUGCCAGCAGCCGCGGUAAUACGUAGGGGGCGAGCGUUGUCCGGAAUCACUGGGCGUAAAGGGCGCGUAGGCGGUAAUAUAAGUCAGAUGUGAAAGGUGGGGGCUCAACCCCUAGAGUGCAACUGAUACUGUAUAACUUGAGUGUGAGAGAGGGG